CAAUAGCGUAUAUUAAAGCUGUUGCGGUUAAAAAGCUCGUAGUUGGAUUUCUGUCAAGGACAACUGGUCCGCCCUCCGGGUGAGCACAUAGUUUGGUCUUGGCAUCUUGCUGGAAGCUGUUGCUGCACUUGGCUGUUUGGCGCAGCGUCCAGCACUUUCACUUUGAGGAAAUUGGAGUGUUUCAAGCAGGCACAUGCCUUUGGACACAGUAGCAUGGAAUAAUUAGAUUGGGCUUUUGCUCCAAUUUGUCGGUUUCUGGAGCUGAGGUGAGAAUUAAUGGGGAUUGUUGGGGGCAUCCGAAUUUAGCCGUCAGAGGUGAAAUUCUUGGAUCUGCUAAAGACGGACAACUGCGAAAGCGUUUGCCCAGGAUGUUUUCAUUGA
rnacentral:rRNA from 1 species